rnacentral:rRNA from 1 species
GACGAACGCUGGCGGCGUGCUUAACACAUGCAAGUCGAGCGGUAAGGCCCUUUCGGGGGUACACGAGCGGCGAACGGGUGAGUAACACGUGGGUGACCUGCCCUCAGCUCUGGGAUAAGCCUGGGAAACCGGGUCUAAUACCGGAUAUGACUCCAUGACGCAUGUUGUGGGGUGAAAGCCUUGUGCGGCUGAGGAUGGGCCCGCGGCCUAUCAGCUUGUUGGUGGGGUGAUGGCCUACCAAGGCGACGACGGGUAGCCGGCCUGAGAGGGCGACCGGCCACACUGGGACUGAGACACGGCCCAGACUCCUACGGGAGGCAGCAGUGGGGAAUCUUGCGCAAUGGGCGAAAGCCUGACGCAGCGACGCCGCGUGAGGGAUGACGGCCUGGUGUAAC